CUUACGCUACCUCCUUCCUUUCUCUCCUCCCACCUCUUCCUCCUGCUCUCCCUCACUCUCUACGUGCGCGUCACAACCAAAGGGAGUGCUGCCUUUUACGGGUUAAAAAGAAUCUUGCAACAGUAUCAUAAUGCCAACAGGAAGGAAUAUUAUCCAAAAUGAAUUCCUGGGAAUAACACACCCCAAAGCAAAUCCGCACAUGCUUUAUCGAGAGGUACAAUGCUAAGAGGGGGCUUCAGAAUGAAGAGCGACGGAGUGAGCAAAUGAGUGUCGCCGGUGCGCAGCAUUGUCAUUCAAAUGUGUUGUUGCAGGACAAGGGAAUGGCGCAGGGGCGCUAAUGGGGAGCGUGGGGAGAAGUGGAAUAAUUGGAUGGUAUGACGUGCACCGGGACAGGACGUAAUGUGCACGUGGAUGGAAUUGUGUGACGGCAGUGCUGCGUGGACGAGUACGCGGGCGGUGGUGUGAGGAUAAGGACAGUGCGGGAAUUGUCAUGUAUCGUGUUGUAGUGGUAUUUAGUGGGAGUAAAUAAACAAAUCUAGACAAAAUAUUUUUAUUCUCAAACUGCAAAGUAUAUUGAUUGUGGUUUAUUUCAAAUGUAAAUAAAUACCACAGA